AUCCUUUUUCAUAGUCGUGUUUUGUUUUUAUCUAAGCUCUCAGUUUGUGAUACAUUACAUUUAUUGGGAGCUCUGUCUCUUUCCCAUGCUUUGAUUUGCAUCUCAGCCCUGUGUUAGUGCUCUCUGCAGGUAAGAAGUACUAGAUCUGGUCUCAGGCUCCUCAGUGUCACCAUUAUGACCUGUAGUGGUAGUCCCCCAGAGCUCAUAAAGGUCCUGGGCCUCGCACUGCCCCGAUACCUGAUCCUGCUUCCCAGUGAACCGAGCCCCUGACUUCCCUUUCCUCAGGGGCUCGGGAAACACCAGAGGCCCCAUGGAGUCAAUCUGUCUCUGGUACAGUAACUGCAGGCUUUUAAAGCCCAGAUUGACCAUUUUUCCCCGUCAAGAGAGGCCCAAACAUUUGAGUAUAAUGCCCGGACCCUCACCCCUGCUGCUGUUCCAUCACUGUGCGCACAGGAAGAGAAACCAUGACAGAUGGGACAGUCAUUCAAGAAUGCUUGUGGCAGAGUAAACAUUCUUCAAUCCCAUGAUGCUUCCAGAAAGACGCCUCUUGUCCCUGAGUAAACCAUGUUUACAGCCACUAAGUGGCACUAAUGAGCUAGGAUUGCCUAAAAACUGCCUCUGUUUGCAGUUUUGGUCUGUUUGCUGUGCAAAUACAGGGGACUCCUGAAGAGUGUGGUUAGGCUGAAAGAAGCUGAUGCCAAACACAUGUCCUUUUAGCCACAAGAACGAGUUUGAAGCUUGUACAAGUACCACCUGUUAUCCUCAACAUACAGCCUCAUUCCACACAGUCUUUGUGCUUUUGGAACCACUUGAUCUGAGGUAUGAGACUUAUCAAACACCUCCUGUCUUUUCCAUAUUAACAUAGGUAACCUCAUGUCCCAGUCUUCAUGUAACCAACUAGCAUAUUAGACCCCUUUAUUAGUAACCUCUGAUUGCAUUCAGUCUGGUUGGCAGCAGCCAUAGACAAGGCCACACUGGCUCCACGUCUCUUUCCCACAACCCCCAAGCACCUCUGAAGAAGUCACCCAUGCCUAAAUGUGGCUCCUUAAUCAAAGGCUGAAUGUAGAUGUUGUCCUGGAGGUUGGCUGUGGUGAUUGCAGCAUUAGCGAAGCACAUGCUCGCCUUUCAGCGCCCAACAAUGAGGCCCAUUGUGUUGCUCCAGAUCUGUCCGUUCUGAUUUAGGAUGGAGCUCCAACAGAGACAAUACAGCGGAGAUGACAUGAGUGCUGAAGAGACAACAUGCCCUAAUGAGCGAACCAGAAGAGAGGAUGUGUUUGUGUCACAUUUAAGCGAUAAAGUCCAAGAGGCCAUGCUAUGUUAUAAAAAUAAUCAAUUGAACCCAUAACCUUGGAGUUUCUGGUGCAAUAAUGUACUGUUAAAACUACAGGAAUGACUGUAUAAUAGUUUAUUUUAUCUGCUGUCAAAUGUGUUGAUAAGUGUGUUUAAUGUUAAACAAUCAAAUGUGGCUAUUUUGAAUGAGAACUUUAACUUGUUUAGCAGUUUUGACAUGCAGUGUUAGUUCUGCAGUGAUAUUAAGGAUUGCUAUUACGUUCCUCUAGGCCUUUGUUCUUUUAAACUGUAUGAUCUCUACACAUCCCUCUCUCUCUUUAGUGUUAAUAUAUAUGAAAAUAUGAUUUCCAGGUUUUAAAU